UUAAAAUCACUGUUCAAAACCUUUGUAGGAACUCUUUUCCUACCUUUUGGAGUUAGUUAACCAAAAAAAAAGAAAAAUGAAAAAACAAUAUUUGGGGAGUUCAGGCUUCCUAAAAGUAAUACCCGGGUAUUAGGUUUUGUGGCAAGGGUAAGGUUUAAGGUUUUUGGCAUAAGGGUUAAAAUCCCUGUCCAAAACCUUUGUAGGAACUCUUUUCCAACCUUUUGGAGUUGGUUAGACUAAAAAAAAAUGAAAAAUGAAAAAAAAAUAUUUGGGGUUUUCGGGCUUCCUGAAGGUAAUACCCGGGUAUUAGGUUUUGGGGCUAGGGUAAGGUUUAAGGUUUUUGGCGUUAGGGUUAAAAUCACUGUCCAAAACCUUUGUAGGAACUCUUUUCCAACCUUUUGGAUUUAGUUAGACCAAAAAAAAUGAAAAAUGAAAAAAAAAAUAUUUGGGGUGUUCAGGCUUCCUAAAAGUAAUACCCGGGUAUUAGGUUAUGGGGCUAUGGUAAGGUUUAAGGUUUUUGGCGUUAGGGUUAAAAUCACUGUCCAAAACCUUUGUAGGAACUCUUUUCCAACCUUUUGGAGUUAGUUAGACCAAAAAAAAUGAAAAAUGAAAAAAAAAAUAUUUGGGGUUUUCGGGCUUCCUGAAGGUAAUACCCCGGUAUUACAUUUUAAGGCUAGGGUAAGGUUUAAGUUUUUUGGCGUUAGGGUUAAAAUCACUGUCCAAAACCUUUGUAGGAACUCUUUUCCAACCUUUUGGAUUAAGUUAGACCAAAAAAAAUGAAAAAUGAAAAAAAAAAUAUUUGGGGUUUUCAGGCUUCCUAAAAGUAAUACCCGGGUAUUAGGUUAUGGGGCUAUGGUAAGGUUUGAGGUUUUUGGCGUUAGGGUUAAAAUUACUGUCCAAAACCUUUGUAGGAACUCUUUUCUAACCUUUUGGAGUUGGUUUCACCAACAAAAAUGUAAAAUGAAGAAAAAAAUAUUUGGGGUUUUCGGGCUUCCUGAAGGUAAUACCCGGGUAUUAGAUUUUAAGGCUAGGGUAAGGUUUAAGGUUUUUGGGGUUAGGGUUAAAAUCACUGUACAAAACCUUUGUAGGAACUCUUUUCCAACCUUUUGGAGUUAGUUAGACCAAAAAAAAUGAAAAAAGAAAAAAAAAAUAAUUGGGGGUUUUCAGGCUCCCUGAAAGUAAUACCCGGGUAUUAGGUUUUGGGACUAGGGAAAGGUUUAAGGUUUUUGGCGUUAGGGUUAAAAUCACUGUCCAAAACCUUUGUAGGAACUCUUUUCCAACCUUUUGGAGUUAGUUAGAACAAAAAAAAUGAAAAAUGAAAAAAAGAAAUUUGGGGUGUUCGGGCUUCCUGAAGGAAAUAAUUAGGUUAUGGGGCUAUGGUAAGGUUUAAGGUUUUUGGCGUUAGGGUUAAACUCACUGUCCAAAACCUUUGUAGGAACUCUUUUCCAACGUUUUGGAGUUAGUUAGACAAAAAAAAGGAUGAAAAAUGAAAAAAAAAAUAUUUGGGGUUUUCGGGCUUCCUGAAUGUAAUUACCCGGGUAUUAGAUUUUAAGGCCAGGGUAAGGUUUAAGUUUUUUGGCAUUAGGGUUAAAAUCACUGUCCAAAACCUUUGUAGGAACUCUUUUCCAACCUUUUUGAGUUGGUUAGACCAAAAAAAUAAGAAAAAUGAAAAAAAAAUAUUUGGGGUGUUCAGGCUUCCUAGAAGUAAUACCCGGGUAUUAGGUUGUGGGGCUAUGGUAAGGUUUAACGUUUUGGCGUUAGGUUUAAAAUCACUCUCCAAAACCUUUGUAGGAACUCUUUUCCAACCUUUUGGAGUUAGUUAGACCAAAAAAAGAAUGGAAAAUGAAAAAAAAAUUUUGGCGUUUUCCGGGCUUCCUUAAUGUAAUACCCAGGUAUAAGGUUAUUUGGCUACGGUAAGGUUUAAGUUUUUUGGCGUUAGGGUUAAAAUCACUGUCCAAAACAUUUUUAGGAACUCUUUUCAUACCUUUUGGAGUUAGUUAGACCAUAAAAAAAUGAAAAAAGAAAAAAAAAUAUUGGGGGUUUUCGGGCUUCCUGAAAGUAAUACCCGGGUAUUAGGUUUUGGGGCUAGGUUUAAGGUUUUUGGCGUUAGGGUUAAAAUCACUGUCCAGAACCUUUGUAGGAACUCUAUUCCAACCUUUUGGAGUUGGUUACACCAACAAAAAUGUAAAAUGAAAAAAAAAUAUUUGGGGUUUUCGGGCUUCCUGAAUGUAAUACCCGGGUAUUAGGUUAUGGGGCUAUGGUAAGGUUUAAGGUUUUUGGCAUUAGGUUAAAAAUCACUGUCCAAAACCUUUGUUGGAACUCUUUUCCAAUUUUUUGGAGCUAGUUAGAACAAAAAAAAAAGAAAAAUGAAAAAAAAAUAUUUGGGGUGUUCGGGCUUCCUAAAAGUAAUACCCGGGUAUUAGGUUAUGGGGCUAUGGUUAGGUUAUAGGUUUUUGGCAUUAGGGUUAAAAUCACUGUCCAAAACCUUUGUAGGAACUCUUUUCCAACCUUUUGGAGUUAGUUAGACCAAAAAAAAAACGAAAAAUGAAAAAAAAUAUUUGGAGUGUUCAGGCUUCCUGAAAGUAAUACCCAGGUAUAAGGUUAUUGGGCUAUGGUAAGGUUUAAGUUUUUUGGCGUUAGGGUUAAAAUCACUGUCCAAAACAUUUGUAGGAACUCUUUUCAUACCUUUUGGAGUUAGUUAGACCAAAAAAAAAAUGAAAAAUGAAAAAAAAAUAUUUGGGGUGUUCGGAGUUCCUGAAGGUAAUACCCGGGAAUUAGAUUUUAAGGCUAGGGUAAGGUUUAAGGUUUUUGGCAUUAGGGUUAAAAUCACUGUCCAAAACCUUUGUAGGAACUCUUUUCCAACCUUUUGGAGUUAGUAAGACCAAAAAAAAAAGAAAAAUGAAAAAAAAAUAUUUGGGGUGUUCAGGCUUCCUAAAAGUAAUACACGGGUAUUAGGUUAUGGGGCUAUGAUAAGGUUUAAGGUUUUUGGCAUUAGGGUUAAAAUCACUGUCCAAAACCUUUGUAGGAACUCUUUUCCAACCUUUUGGAGUUGGUUACACCAACAAAAAUGUAAAAUGAAAAAAAUAUAUAUUUGGGGUUUUCAGGCUUCCUAAUAGUAAUACCCGGGUAUUAGGUUAUGGGGCUAUGGUAAGGUUUAAGGUUUUUGGCAUUAGGGUUAAAAUCACUGUCCAAAACCUUUGUAGGAACUCUUUUCCAACCUUUUGGAGUUAGUUAGACCAAAAAAAAACGAAAAAUGAAAAAAAAUAUUUGGAGUGUUCAGGCUUCCUGAAAGUAAUACCCAGGUAUAAGGUUAUUGGGCUAUGGUAAGGUUUAAGUUUUUUGGCGUUAGGGUUAAAAUCACUGUCCAAAACAUUUGUAGGAACUCUUUUCAUACCUUUUGGAGUUAGUUAGACCAAAAAAAAAAUGAAAAAUGAAAAAAAAAUCUUAGGGGUUUUCGGAGUUCCUGAAGGUAAUACCCGGGAAUUAGAUUUUAAGGCUAGGGUAAGGUUUAAGGUUUUUGGCGUUAGGGUUAAAAUCACUGUCCAAAACCUUUGUAGGAACUCUUUUCCAACCUUUUGGAGUUAGUUAGACCAAAAAAUAUGAAAAAAGAAAAAAGUAUUAUUGGGGGUUUUCGGGCUCCCUGAAAGUAAUACCCGUGUAUUAGGUUUUGGGACUAGGGAAAGGUUUAAGGGUUUUGGCGUUAGGGUUAAAAUCACUGUCCAAAACCUUUGUAGGAACUCUUUUCCAACCUUUUGGAGUUGGUUACACCAACAAAAAUGUAAAAUGAAAAAAAAAUAUUUGGGGUUUUCAGGCUUCCUAAUAGUAAUACCCGGGUAUUAGGUUAUGGGGCUAUGGUAAGGAUUAAGGUUUUUGGCAUUAGGGUUAAAAUCACUGUCCAAAACCUUUGUAGGAACUCUUUUCCAAUUUUUUGGAGCUAGUUAGACCAAAAAAAAAAAGGAAAAAUGAAAAAAAUAUAUAUUUAGAGUUUUCAAGGCUUCCUGAAGGUAAUACCCGGGUAUUAGGAUUUGGGGCUGUGGUAAGGUUUAAGGUUUUUGGCGUUAGGGUUAAAAUCACUGUCCAAAACCUUUGUAGGAACUCUUUUCCAACCUUUUGGAGUUAGUUAGACCAAAAAAAAAAAGAAAAAUUAAGAAAAAAUAUUUGGGGUUUUCGGGCUUCCUGAAUGUAAUAAGAUUUUAAGGCUAGGGUAAGGUUUAAGUUUUUUGGCUUUAGGGUUAAAAUCACUGUCCAAAAACUUUGUAGGAACUCUUUUCCAACCUUUUGGAGUUAGUUAGAACAAAAAAAAAGGAAAAAUGAAAAAAAAAUAUUUGGGGUGUUCGGGCUUCCUAAAAGUAAUACCCGGGUAUUAGGUUAUGGGGCUAUGGUUAGGUUAUAGGUUUUUGGCAUUAGGGUUAAAAUCACUGUCCAAAACCUUUGUAGGAACUCUUUUCCAACCUUUUGAAGUUAGUUAGACCAAAAAAAAACGAAAAAUGAAAAAAAAUAUUUGGAGUGUUCAGGCUUCCUGAAAGUAAUACCCAGGUAUUAGGUUAUUUGGCUACGGAAAGGUUUAAGUUUUUUGGCGUUAGGGUUAAAAUCACUGUCCAAAACAUUUUUAGGAACUCUUUUCAUACCUUUUGGAGUUAGUUAGACCAAAAAAAAAAUGAAAAAUGAAAAAAAAAUCUUUGGGGUUUUCGGAGUUCCUGAAGGUAAUACCCGGGAAUUAGAUUUUAAGGCUAGGGUAAGGUUUAAGGUUUUUGGCAUUAGGGUUAAAAUCACUGUCCAAAACCUUUGUAGGAACUCUUUUCCAACCUUUUGGAGUUAGUUACACCAAAAAAAAUGAAAAAUGAAAAAAAAAUAUUUGGGGUGUUCAGGCUUCCUAAAAGUAAUACACGGGUAUUAGGUUGUGGGGCUAUGAUAAGGUUUAAGGUUUUUGGCUAUAGGGUUAAAAUCACUGUCCAAAACCUUUGUAGGAACUCUUUUCCAACCUUUUGGAGUUGGUUACACCAACAAAAAUGUAAAAUGAAAAAAAAAUAUUUGGGGUUUUCAGGCUUCCUAAUAGUAAUACCCGGGUAUUAGGUUAUGGGGCUAUGGUAAGGUUUAAGGUUUUUGGUGUUUGGGUUAAAAUCACUGUCCAAAACCUUUGUAGGAACUCGUUUCCAAUUUUUUGGAGCUAGUUAGACCAAAAAAAAAAAAAAGAAAAAUGAAAAAAAUAAAUAUUUAGAGUUUUCAAGGCUUCCUGAAGGUAAUACCCGGGUAUUAGGAUUUGGGGCUGUGGUAAGGUUUAAGGUUUUUGGCGUUAGGGUUAAAAUCACUGUCCAAAACAUUUGUAGGAACUCCUUUCAUACCUUUUGGAGUUAGUUAGACCAUAAAAAAAUGAAAAAAGAAAAAAAAAUAUUUGGGGUUUUUUGGUUUUCGGGCUUCCUGAAGGUAAUACCCGGGUAUUAGAUUUUAAGGCUAGGGUAAGAUUUAAGUUUUUUGGCGUAAGGGUUAAAAUCACUGUCCAAAACCUUUGUAGGAACUCUUUUCCAACCUUUUGGAGUUAGUUAGACCAAAAAAAAAAAAGAAAAAUGAAGAAAAAAUAUUUGGGGUUUUCGGGCUUCCUGAAUGUAAUAAGAUUUUAAGGCUAGGGUAAGGUUUAAGUUUUUUGGCUUUAGGGUUAAAAUCACUGUCCAAAAACUUUGUAGGAACUCUUUUCCAACCUUUUGGAGUUAGUUAGACCAAAAAAAAAAUGAAAAAAGAAAAGGAAAUAUUGGGGGUUUUCGGGCUUCCUAAAAGUAAUACCCGGGUAUUAAGUUUUCGGGUUAGGGAAAGGUUUAGGUUUUUUGGCUUUAGGGUUAAAAUCACUGUCCAAAACCUUUGUAGGAUUUCUUUUCCAACCUUUUGGAGUUAGUUAGACCAAUAAAAAAUGAAAAAAAAAAAAAAGAUAUUUGGGGUUUUCGGGCUUCCUGAAAGUAAUACCCGGGUUUUGAGUUUUCGGGUAAGGGAAAGGUUUAAGUUUUUUGGCGUUAGUGUUAAAAUCACUGUCCAAAACCUUUGUAGGAACUCUUUUCAAAUUUUUUUGAGCUAGUUAGACAAAAAAAAAAUGAAAAAUGAAAAAAAAAUAUUUGGGGUUUUCGGGCUUCCUGAAGGUAAUACCCGGGUAUUAGGUUAUGGGGCUAUGGUAAGGUUUAAGGUUUUUGGCGUUAGGGUUAAAAUCACUGUCCAAAACCUUUGUAGGAACUCUUUUCCAACCUUUUGGAGUUAGUUAGAACAAAAAAAAAAGAAAAAUGAAAAAAAAAUAUUUGGGGUUUUCGGGCUUCCUGAAGGUAAUACCCAGGUAUUAGGUUAUGGGGCUAUGGUAAGGUUUAAGGUUUUUGGCGUUAGGGUUAAAAUCACUGUCCAAAACCUUUGUAGGAACUCUUUUCCAACCUUUUGGAGUUAGUUAGACCAAAAAAAAAUGAAAAAAGAAAAAGAAAUAUUGGGGGUUUUCGGGCUUCCUGAAAGUAAUACCCGGGUAUUAGGUUUUGGGGCUACGGAAAGGUUUAAGGUUUUUGGCUUUAGGGUUAAAAUCACUGUUCAAAACCAUUGUAAGAACUCUUUUCCAAUAUUUUGGAGUUAGUUAGACCAAUAAAAAAUGAAAAAAGAAAAAAAACAUUUGGGGUUUUCGGGCUUCGUGAAGGUAAUACCCGGGUAUUAGGUUAUGGGGAUAAGGUAAGGUUUAAGGUUUUUGGUAUUAGGUUAUGGGGAUAAGGUAAGGUUUAAGGUUUUUGGCGUUAGGUUUAAAAUCACUGUCCAAAACCUUUGUAGGAACUCUAUUCCAACCUUUUGGAGUUGGUUACACCAACAAAAAUGUAAAAUGAAGAAAAAAAUAUUUGGGGUUUGGGCUUCCUGAGGGUAAUACCCGGGUAUUAGGUUUUGGGGAUAGGGUAAGGUUUAAGUUUUUUGGCAUUAGGGUUAAAAUCACUGUCCAAAGCCCUUGUAGGAACUCUUUUCCAACCUUUUGGAGUUGGUUACACCAACAAAAAUUUUAAAUGAAGAAAAAAAACAUUUGGGGUUUUCGGGCUUCGUGAAGGUAAUACCCGGGUAUUAGGUUAUGGGGAUAAGGUAAGGUUUAAGGUUUUUGGCGUUAGGUUUAAAAUCACUGUCCAAAACCUUUGUAGGAACUCUUUUCCAACCUUUUGGAGUUGGUUACACCAACAAAAAUUUAAAAUGAAAAAAGAAAAAAAAAUAUUUGGGGUUUUCGGGCUUCCUGAAGGUAAUACCCGGGUAUUAGGUUUUGGGGAUAGGGUAAGGUUUAAGGUUUUUUGGCUUUAGGGUUAAAAUCACUGUCCAAAACCAUUGUAAGAACUCUUUUCCAAUCUUUUGGAGUUAGUUAGACCAAAAAAAAAGAAAAAUGAAAAAAAUAUAUUUGGGGUGUUCAGGCUUCCUAAAAGUAAUACUCAGGUAUUAGGUUAUGGGGCUAUGGUAAGGUUUAAGGUUUUUGGCGUUAGGGUUAAAAUCACUGUCCAAAACCUUUUGUAGGAACUCUUUUCCAACCUUUUGGAGUUAGUUAGACCAAUAAAAAAUGAAAAAAGAAAAAAAAGAUAUUUGGGGUUUUCGGGCUUCCUGGAAGUAAUACCCGAGUAUUAAGUUUUGGGGCUAGAAAAAGGUUUAAGGUUUUUGGCGUUAGGGUUAAAAUCACUGUCGAAAAAGCUUUGUAGGAACUCUAUUCCAACCUUUUGGAGUUAGUAAGACCAAAAAAAAUGAAAAAAGAAAAAAAAAUAUUUGGGGUUUUCGGGCUUCCUGAAAGUAAUACCCGGGUAUUAGGUUUUGGGGCUACGGAAAGGUUUAAGGUUUUUGGCUUUAGGGUUAAAAUCACUGUCCAAAACCAUUGUAAGAACUCUUUUCCAAUCUUUUGGAGUUAGUUAGACCAAUAAAAAAUGAAAAAAGAAAAAAAACAUUUGGGGUUUUCGGGCUUCGUGAAGGUAAUACCCGGGUAUUAGGUUAUGGGGAUAAGGUAAGGUUUAAGGUUUUUGGCGUUAGGUUUAAAAUCACUGUCCAAAACCUUUGUAGGAACUCUAUUCCAACCUUUUGGAGUUGGUUACACCAACAAAAAUGUAAAAUGAAGAAAAAAAUAUUUGGGGUUUGGGCUUCCUGAGGGUAAUACCCGGGUAUUAGGUUUUGGGGAUAGGGUAAGGUUUAAGUUUUUUGGCAUUAGGGUUAAAAUCACUGUCCAAAGCCCUUGUAGGAACUCUUUUCCAACCUUUUGGAGUUGGUUACACCAACAAAAAUUUUAAAUGAAGAAAAAAAACAUUUGGGGUUUUUGGGCUUCCUGAAGGUAAUACCCGGGUAUUAGGUUAUGGGGAUAAGGUAAGGUUUAAGGUUUUUGGCGUUAGGUUUAAAAUCACUGUCCAAAACCUUUGUAGGAACUCUAUUCCAACCUUUUGGAGUUGGUUACACCAAAAAAAAUGUAAAAUGAAGAAAAAAAUAUUGGGGUUCGGGCUUCCUGAAGGUAAUAUCCCGGGUAUUAGGUUUUGGGGAUAGGGUAAGGUUUAAGUUUUUUGGCUUUAGGGUUAAAAUCACUGUCCAAAACCAUUGUAAGAACUCUUUUCCAAUCUUUUGGAGUUAGUUAGACCAAAAAAAAAGAAAAAUGAAAAAUGAAAAAAAAAUAUUUGGGGUGUUCAGGCUUCCUAAAAGUAAUACCCAAGUAUUAGGUUAUGGGGCUAUGGUAAGGUUAAAGGUUUUUGGCAUUAGGGUUAAAAUCACUGUCCAAAACCUUUGUAGGAACUCUUUUUCCAACCUUUUGGAGUUAGUUAGACCAAUAAAAAAUGAAAAAAGAAAAAAAAGAUAUUUGGGGUUUUCGGGCUUCCUGAAGGUAAUACCCAGGUAUUAGGUUAUGGGGCUAUGGUAAGGUUUAAGGUUUUUGGCGUUAGGGUUAAAAUCACUGUCCAAAACCUUUGUAGGAACUCUUUUCCAAUUUUUUUGAGCUAGUUAGACAAAAAAAAAUGAAAAAUGAAAAAAAAAUAUUUCGGGUUUUCGGGCUUCCUGAAGGUAAUACCCGGGUAUUAGGUUAUGGGGCUAUUGUAAGGUUUAAGGUUUUUGGCGUUAGGGUUAAAAUCACUGUCCAAAACCUUUGUAGGAACUCUUUUCAACCUUUUGGAGUUAGUUAGACCAAAAAAAAUGAAAAAAGAAAAAGAAAUAUUGGGGGUUUUCGGGCUUCCUGAAAGUAAUACCCGGGUAUUAGGUUUUGGGGCUAGGGAAAGGUUUAAGGUUUUUGGCGUUAGGGUUAAAAUCACUG